GCAGCUUCAAUACAGGCUUCCAGGGAUGCCCCCGCCGCCGCAAAACAUGAUGCCCCCACCGCAAAACAUGAUGCCGCCACCUCAUCACAUGGCCAGGCUGCCGCCGCCACCUCCCAAUAUGCAAGCUCCACCUAUGUGGAGGCCACCCCCAUCCCCACAACAAGGUGGUGGAAUGCCGCCACCUCCAAUGUCCAUGCCACCUCCUCCACCGCCACCUUCUGGUUAAAAAUAUAAAUGGGUGUCUUCCAUUGGGUUAAUUUGGCGCGCAGCAGUUGUAGACCAAGGGUGUUAAAAGUCUUUCAUAUAUUGUCAUGUAACUUGCAGCACUAGGAGAAUAUCAGAAUUGAGAGAAUUAGCGGACGGUGAUACAAAAUGCGUGACUUUUGUGAUUGCAUGUGCGGUACCUGCCUUGUGUGGGUGCUGCUGCUGUGUGCUCUGCUUAGGACAAUUAUGGACCGUGAUCUGUGCUAUCUCUUACAUUGUUAUUACUGGCAGAAUCGUGUUUUAAACAGGCCUCUCGUGAUUGACAGUUGUUGCGCAACUUUCAGCUGUUUUCAUGAAACAAGAUGCACCAUGCUGUUCUAAUUUUUCUAUCAAGU
rnacentral:lncRNA from 1 species